GCAAACUUGGUCAUUUAGAGGAAGUAAAAGUCGUAACAAGGUUUCCGUAGGUGAACCUGCGGAAGGAUCAUUAACGAAUGAUUAUUGCAAUUUUUGCAAUAUUUAAAUUCAUAAACACAUGUGAACAUGAUUGAUUUUUGCUUUGGCUGAACAUUUUUUGUUUGGCCAAAAGUUUUAAUUAAAACCAUUUAUAUUAUUAACCUUGAAUUAUCUGAAUUGAAAAAAAAGUUUAAUUAUUUAAAACUUUCAACAACGGAUCUCUUGGUUCUCGCAUCGAUGAAGAACGCAGC
rnacentral:misc_RNA from 1 species